UUCAAUGAGAAACAAUAUUCAGGUCAGGUCAAAGCCUAGAGAAAAAUGCGCAUUCAGAAGUGGGCUGCCAUCCUGCUUUUUCUGAAGUGAACAGCUGCUGGGUAUUGAAACCAGCCCUCACGGUUGGGUCCCUGCCACCAUGGCAACACUCUGGUUUCUGAGCUGGAGUGGCCAAGGCACAAUGGGGUGGUUCCAUGGCCCAGAAGCACUCUAGCUACAGAUUAGAAUGAUGACAAGAGUAAUACCUUCCUAGUGAAGAUGACUUUUAUUUCAGGACUAUAUUAAGUUUCCCAACUUCUGUCAUGAUAUAGUCCAAAGAGAACCUGGACCACGCAGACAUCAAACAGAACAUGACACUGACCCAUUCUAUCAGUGACGUUGUGCUGAUUGCACAGGACAGAUGAGAGGCUCGUAUACUAGAAGUCUUGUUUCACAUGUCCACAGAUGAAGAAAAAUUGUGCCCCAGCAAGGAUUAUACCCAGAGCCUCAUCCAUUCAUACCUGAUUUAGAUACUUAGAUGAUGAGUAAUAGAAAAGGUGGUUAUCAAACCUGGGUCAAAGUUGAAUCACCUGAGGAUCUUUUAGAACAUACACAGUCAUAUGAUACUUCAAAAUCUGUGAUUCCAUGAAGCCAAGAGUAGCUCUUCAACAGGAAAUGAAUGAGUGCUUCAGCUUCUGAUCCCAUUAGUAAGAAAAUACAGUCUUAUGAGCAAUGAUGGAGCUGCAUCUCUUAGGGGCAUUUGAUUCCCAAGAGACCAAAGAGCAAAGAGAAUGUCAAUUUAAAAAAAUCAAAUGUUUCCAUGACUUAGCUAUUUAACUGCUUUAAAAUGAAUGAAUGCUGCUUCAAGUUCUUUCAAAUACCCCACAUCUUGGCAACAACGAAAGGAAUUAACAUGAAGAAAAUUUACAAUCUUUCAUCACAUCGAACAAUGUCCCACAUUUGAAAAGUUCACAGCACAGAUUUCUGGUUACUGAAAGAAAGGAAAGACCUUCUUUGGAUUUGAAUAAACAGAUGGACUUUCUUCUCCUUUUUCUUAUAGUGCCCGAUUUGUGUAAAGGGAGGUGGGAAGAAAACAUCUUAGCUUAAAAGAGUGUCCUAUAAAAUAAAAGGUUUCAUACUU
rnacentral:lncRNA from 1 species